rnacentral:lncRNA from 1 species
AGGGGUUCGAGCCUCCGCAGUCGCAUUGUAGAGGUUUAAUUUAUAUUUCCUUCCUUGGAGCCACAAAGCUCGAGUGAAGGCAGUCUUUCUCUCAGGAUGGGAGUUUGACGUCCCUCGAAUAUUUGAGAGGGUUACAAAAAUCUGAACAGUGCCAUAUCAGCAUUAAUGUCAAUAGAUCUCAGUAUAUAUAUAUGAUUGUACAUAUCAGUUAUACUCUCAUGUAAUAUGAGUUGUAA